UGGGGAAUUUUGGACAAUGGGGGAAACCCUGAUCCAGCCAUCCCGCGUGUGCGAUGAAGGCCUUCGGGUUGUAAAGCACUUUUGGCAGGAAAGAAACGUCAUGGGUUAAUACCCCGUGAAACUGACGGUACCUGCAGAAUAAGCACCGGCUAACUACGUGCCAGCAGCCGCGGUAAUACGUAGGGUGCAAGCGUUAAUCGGAAUUACUGGGCGUAAAGCGUGCGCAGGCGGUUCGGCAAGAAAGAUGUGAAAUCCCAGAGCUCAACUUUGGAACUGCAUUUUUAACUACCGGGCUAAAGUGUGUCAGAGGGAGGUGGAAUUCCGCGUGUAGCAGUGAAAUGCGUAGAUAUGCGGAGGAACACCGAUGGCGAAGGCAGCCUCCUGGGAUAACACUGACGCUCAUGCAAGAAAGCGUGGGGAGCAAACAGG
rnacentral:rRNA from 1 species